rnacentral:rRNA from 1 species
ACGGGUGAGUAAUGUCUGGGAAACUGCCUGAUGGAGGGGGAUAACUACUGGAAACGGUAGCUAAUACCGCAUAAUGUCGCAAGACCAAAGAGGGGGACCUUCGGGCCUCUUGCCAUCAGAUGUGCCCAGAUGGGAUUAACUAGUAGGUGGGGUAAUGGCUCACCUAGGCGACGAUCCCUAGCUGGUCUGAGAGGAUGACCAGCCACACUGGAACUGGGACACGGUCCAGACUCCUACGGGAGGCAGCAGUGGGGAAUAUUGCACAAUGGGCGCAAGCCUGAUGCAGCCAUGCCGCGUGUGUGAAGAAGGCCUUCGGGUUGUAAAGCACUUUCAGCGAGGAGGAAGGCAUUAAGGUUAAUAACCUUGGUGAUUGACGUUACUCGCAGAAGAAGCACCGGCUAACUCCGUGCCAGCAGCCGCGGUAAUACGGAGGGUGCAAGCGUUAAUCGGAAUUACUGGGCGUAAAGCGCACGCAGGCGGUCUGUCAAGUCGGAUGUGAAAUCCCCGGGCUCAACCUGGGAACUGCAUUCGAAACUGGCAGGCUAGAGUCUUGUAGAGGGGGGUAGAAUUCCAGGU